AUAACUUCGGGAAACCGAAGCUAAUACCGGAUAGGAUCUUCUCCUUCAUGGGAGAUGAUUGAAAGAUGGUUUCGGCUAUCACUUACAGAUGGGCCCGCGGUGCAUUAGCUAGUUGGUGAGGUAACGGCUCACCAAGGCAACGAUGCAUAGCCGACCUGAGAGGGUGAUCGGCCACACUGGGACUGAGACACGGCCCAGACUCCUACGGGAGGCAGCAGUAGGGAAUCUUCCGCAAUGGACGAAAGUCUGACGGAGCAACGCCGCGUGAGUGAUGAAGGCUUUCGGGUCGUAAAACUCUGUUGUUAGGGAAGAACAAGUACAAGAGUAACUGCUUGUACCUUGACGGUACCUAACCAGAAAGCCACGGCUAACUACGUGCCAGCAGCCGCGGUAAUACGUAGGUGGCAAGCGUUAUCCGGAAUUAUUGGGCGUAAAGCGCGCGCAGGCGGUUUCUUAAGUCUGAUGUGAAAGCCCACGGCUCAACCGUGGAGGGUCAUUGGAAACUGGGGAACUUGAGUGCAGAAGAGAAAAGCGGAAUUCCACGUGUAGCGGUGAAAUGCGUAGAGAUGUGGAGGAACACCAGUGGCGAAGGCGGCUUUUUGGUCUGUAACUGACGCUGA
rnacentral:rRNA from 3 species